AAGGCUAAGAGUGUCCAAUUUGACCUGAAAAAGUAUGGGAAUUCAAAUUAGAGAUUGAGGAUUCGAAUGGAUACAAAAGAUCUGUCAAAACAUGAGUAAAAAAAAUGAACCGAUUCAACAAUACCCAUUUGUACAGUGAGCUAGGGUAGGCUAGAGCAAAGGCUAGAAGUGGCCAAUUUGAUUAAAAAAAGUAUGAGAAUUCAAAUUAGAGAUUGAGGAUUUAAAUGGACACAAAAGAUCUGUUGAAAAAUGAAUAAAAAAAACUGAGCCGAUUCAACAAUAAAUGUCUG
rnacentral:lncRNA from 1 species